GAACGCAUAUUGCGGUCGAGGCUUCGGCCAAGACCAUGUCUGCCUCAGCGUCGGUGUGAACCCUCACUCCCCCUCACGGGUGGAGUGGACCUGGCCUCCUCAGCCCUUGGGCUGGGCUGGCUGAAAUUCGGAGGUUCCCGCUCGGACCUGUAUGGCAACAGCAAGGUAGGUAGUUUACUACUCCGGCUGAUGCUUUGGGCACGUGGCACGAACCCGCAGGAAAUUCUCACCCUUUCGACCUGAGAUCAGGCAAGGCUACCCGCUGAACUUAAG
rnacentral:misc_RNA from 1 species